CACCAUGACUUUUCAUUUUGUUGCCUG
rnacentral:piRNA from 1 species